rnacentral:rRNA from 1 species
UGCGCAGGCGGGACUGCAAGUUGGAUGUGAAAUACCGAGGCUCAACCUCGGGACUGCAUCCAAAACUGUGGUUCUUGAGUGGAGUAGAGGUAAGCGGAAUUCCGAGUGUAGCGGUGAAAUGCGUAGAUAUUCGGAGGAACACCAGUGGCGAAGGCGGCUUACUGGGCUCUAACUGACGCUGAGGCACGAAAGCAUGGGGAGCAAACA